UCUUGGUCAUUUAGAGGAAGUAAAAGUCGUAACAAGGUCUCCGUUGGUGAACCAGCGGAGGGAUCAUUAUCGAGUUAUUCAACUCCCAAACCCUAUGUGAACUUACCACUUGUUGCUUCGGCGCGCGCUUCGGCGCCGCCGAGGACACUUAAACUCUUUGUUUUUAUAAGCAUUUGUGAGUGGCCGAAAGGCAAAAAUACAAAUGAAUCAAAACUUUCAACAACGGAUCUCUUGGUUUUGGCAUCGAUGAAGAACGCAGCGAAAUGCGAUAAGUAAUGUGAAUUGCAGAAUUCAGUGAAUCAUCGAAUCUUUGAACGCACAUUGCGCCCGCCAGCAUUCUGGCGGGCAUGCCUGUUCGAGCGUCAUUUCAACCCUCGAGCCCGACUCUUUUGAGGACGGCUCGGCGUUGGGGGACGGCAGACUCCCCCCGGCAUCUCGCCGGGGACGCCGCCCCCGAAAUCUAGUGGCGGCCCUCCGAGGCGACCUGUGCGUAGUAACUUGUUCUCGCACCGGAAAGCUCAGAGCGGCCACGCCGUAAAACCCCAACUUUUUUCAGGUUGACCUCGAAUCAGGUAGGACUA
rnacentral:rRNA from 1 species